AUCCCGUUUUAUAGAUGAGGAAACUGAGACUCAAAAAGAUGUGCCUGAGGUCAUAUGGCAUUAUCAGAACCAACCUCUGGCCCUCUUGACCUGUCUAGCAUUCUUUCCUUCUGACUUAUAGGAUGACUAAUUCAGUCUAAAUCAGCUGCCCUCAGAUUCUUGAGAACUUAAAAUUGAGCAGAAAUUCCCAAGGCCAACCUGGCUGUCAGCGACCGACCUGCAGAACUCAAGAUUGAGUGAAAUAUUUAGGUCAGUUGAGUUUUGCAAAAUGAGUGGUAGAGGAAAACAGAUCAAGCCUGUAAUUUAAAACUAGGGUUCAAAAGCCCUAGUGGGAGAUGUAGUAUUGUCCUAGCAUUUAAAUUCUCAUGAAAUGGGCUUGGUCUGUGAUCUCUUGGUCAGACAUCUGCCUUCCAGGCGAUCCUUUGAGGUUGUAUAAUUCAGCUGGCCCUGGCUCCUGGUCCCUGUUACUGAGCUGGGAAGUCGAACUGAAGGGCAGAUGAACUCAAGAUCAUACCUUGGGAAGCAUGGUGCUUUAGGGGUGCCUUUUUAUUCCUUUCAUUGUAUUAUAGACUGUUUCCAAGUUUAUGGUUAGAAAUGGUAAAGUGGGUCUGGUGUUUUGAGGUAGAAUCCAGCCUGAGGCAAGAUAUGAACUGUUCUUGAGGUAGAAAUGUCUACAAUCAGUUGUUUCAUCUAGCUUGCAACUUAAAACACAAACCCUUCAGUUGCUUUCACUUAAUGAACACAUUUGCCAAUGACAGAGGGUUAUACAGGAUCCCUCUUUUACAUUUCUAUUGUCUGCUACACUCAUCAGAGUAUAUUUUGGGGUAUGAGGUUUUGGGUUUUUUCCCCCCGUUUUGUAACUGCCUUAUUGAAAAGUAAGUGCCCUUCCAUUCCAGGCCUCUUCACGUUGUACUUGUUUCCUACCAAAUCUGGGGGAUCAUUUGUGUUUUAACUUUGUAAUCUAUGGCUCUGUACUGCUGAAAGGCUCUCAAUUCUAUGGGGUCUCCUUAGUAUGUAUGUGACUGUUCCUGUUGCAAUAUCACACAGAUGGGAUAGCCCGACUUUUGCUCUUAAUAAAUAAUCUGAAUGAGUAAGA